UAGGCCAGGGACAGGCCAAGAAGGUGGUAUCUAGGGUGAAAUGUAGCAAUGGAGCAGAGAAGGCAGAGGCUGCUGCUCCUUCUGAGCCAAGAUCUUAAAAAGAAAAAGCCCCAAGUGGUCACAGCAGGCAGUGUGACUUCAGAACCCAAGAGCUUAGCCCUUCUUGUUGUGCUAUGUCCAUUCCUCUGUUGCUUCUGGGGGCCACCUUGUGAACGCUUCCUUUAUUGACAGCACUUGAUGGAAAGUGCGAGCCACAGACUAUGGAGCUUCACCCAGGGAGAAAUUGGCACAUCUAAUUUCUUAACCUAUGCCAGGAUCUGCUCACAGCUGUGAAGGCUUUCCACAUGCUAUUUCACAAUAAGACGGCUUUUCAUCCUCCAGUUUAUAUUCGGACCAGGCUGGUAUGGAGAAAUAUAAAACACCUUUCUUCAUGUCCACGGAUCGGAUCAACCCUCCCAGUGAGUGGGGGCACAGUCCUAAGGGAGCCUUUGCUGAUGACAAAGCUCUCUAGAUCUCAGCUUCCCUCUCUGCAGAGCCUCUGCAGAUUUUGCCAAGGCCGCAUAGUGUAUACACGAGCACAGAGGUCUGGGUUUAAAACUGAAGGAGAACAGCAUCUAACCAUCUCAGUGGAUACUGGCAGAUUCGAUUUGAAAGAUGAGCACUAAAUCCCCUUUCAGGAUUUUAUAUUGCUAUGAUUUUUAAAUUUUCAUAUGUAUGUAUCACUCAAAAUAAACAUUUAAAUCACAUUCUUUAAGGCA